AGACUUUGAUCCUGGCUCAGAAUCAACGCUGGCGGCGUGCCUAACACAUGCAAGUCGAGCGAGAAAGGGGGCUUCGGCCCCUGAGUAGAGCGGCGGACGGGUGAGUAACACGUGGGUAAUCUGCCCUCGGGUGGGGAAUAACUCAGGGAAACCUGGGCUAAUUCCGCAUGACAUUUUUGGUACAUACGUAUCGAAAAUCAAAGCUGGGGACCCUUCGGGGCCUGGCGCCUGGGGAGGAGCCCGCGGCCAAUUAGCUUGAUGGUGAGGUAAUGGCUCACCAUGGCUACGAUUGGUAGCCGGCCUGAGAGGGCGGACGGUCACACUGGGACUGAGACACGGCCCAGACUCCUACGGGAGGCAGCAGUGGGGAAUUUUUGUCAAUGGGGGAAACCCUGAACAAGCAACGCCGCGUGAAGGACGAAGACCUUCGGGUUGUAAACUUCUGUCGGAGGGGACGAAAGCAGUAUUGGUUAAUACCCAAUAUUGNUGACGGUCCCUACCAAGAAACCCCNGUUACUUCCGUGCCACAACCGCGGUAAUACCGGGGGGG
rnacentral:rRNA from 1 species